AAGCGAGAAAAAGGUGCAUCAAAUGGAUAUCUUGAACAGCAGAACCUACAACCAAUUGUUUUGGUCGAUCAUAUCGCUGGUGAAGUUGAACAGUCUGUAAAACGGAAAAGAACCUCUUCUGUAAAUCAGCAUGUCAAGAAAAGAAAUACUGCAGAAAAGGGACAAACGAAAAAAGGGACGUCGGCUUCAAAGGCAGCUUCUACACCUAAAACUAAAGCAACAAAAGCAGCAUCCACACCAAAAGCAACAUCAACAAUAGUGACUGCACAAAAGGGACAAACGAAACAAGGGACGUCAGCCCCAAAGGCAGCUUCUACACCUAAAACUAGAGAACCGAAAGCAGCGUCCACACCAAAAGCAACAUCAACAAUAGAGGGAUCCAAUGGGAGACAAAUAAAUGUUUUGCUCCAGUCAAGCCUGCACAAUGGCCCUGGAGCAGUGCCAAUGAGAA